rnacentral:rRNA from 1 species
AGAGUUUGAUCCUGGCUCAGAAUCAACGCUGGCGGCGUGCCUCAGACAUGCAAGUCGAACGAUUAAGACUUCCUUCGGGAAGUGUAUAAAGUGGCGCACGGGUGAGUAACACGUAAGUAAUCUGCCUUCGAGUGGGGAAUACCUUCGGGAAACCGAAGAUAAUACCGCAUAAUGCAGCGGCACCGCAAGGUGACAGUUGUUAAAGGAGCAAUCCGCUUGAAGAGGAGCUUGCGGCAGAUUAGCUAGUUGGUAAGGUAACGGCUUACCAAGGCUACGAUCUGUAUCCGGUCUAAGAGGACGGUCGGACACACUGACACUGAAUAACGGGUCAGACUCCUACGGGAGGCAGCAGUCGGGAAUUUUGGGCAAUGGGCGAAAGCCUGACCCAGCAACGCCGCGUGAAGGAUGAAGUAUUUCGGUAUGUAAACUUCGAAAGAAUAGGAAGAAUAAAUGACGGUACUAUUUAUAAGGUCCGGCUAACUACGUGCCAGCAGCCGCGGUAAUAC